AAAUACCUGAAGGGUACGUAAGUCAUUCAUUUAAAACCGACUAAUUGAGUUUAUAAGGGAAUCUAAUGGAUAACUGGUGUUGAAUGCCUGCUUCUAAGUAGGAAUCCUAAAAGUUAUACUGUGAUGCCCACCUGUAAAAAUGCAGGUUUUAUACUCAUGGCAGCGUCCUUUUGGGUUUUAU
rnacentral:other from 1 species